UGACGUGGCAUAAGACGAGGUCUUGACGAUCCAGUCGGGGGUUUGAGUCCUAACUGGCCCGUCAAGUCCCUCCCAAUGCCACGGCC
rnacentral:pre_miRNA from 1 species